rnacentral:rRNA from 1 species
CAGUAGCCACGGUAAUACGUAGGUCCCGAGCGUUGUCCGGAAUUAUUGGGCGUAAAGCGCGCGUAGGCGGUCUUUUAAGUCUGAUGUGAAAGCCCACGGCUCAACUGUGGAGGGUCAUUGGAAACUGUUAAACUUGAGUGCAGGAGAGAAAAGUGGAAUUCCUAGUGUAGCGGUGAAAUGCGUAGAGAUUAGGAGGAACACCAGUGGCGAAGGCGGCUUUUUGGCCUGUAACUGACACUGAGGCGCGAAAGCGUGGGGAGCAAACAGGAUUAGAUACCCCGGUAGUCCCUGUCUCUUAUAC